CAAGAGAGGAAAACAAGAUAAAAGGUCAGAUAAGGACAAGCAUAUCGAAAACAAGAUGAAAACAAGGAAUAACAAAAAAGAGAAAGUCAUGGUAGAACAGUACGGAAAGAAAGAAGCAUUAACUACUAUAAAUAAAUAAGAUAAUCAAAGUACAACGGCCCCACAAAUAUAAGCAGCAAUAAAAUGCAGAAAUCAAAUGGCAAUAAACAAAUGAGCAGAACUACAACUACUAUGGUGGAAGGAUAAGUCACCUAGCCUUCUAUCCUAAUCUGAGUCCUCCACAACCUCCUAUCUAAGGUCAUGUCCUCGGUGAGCUGAAACUGUGUCAUAUCCUAUCUAAUCACCUCUCCCCAAUACUUCUUCGGCCUCCCUUUGCCUCUCCUGAAACCGUCCAUAGCCAGCCUCUCACACCUCCGCACUGGAGCAUCUGUGUCUCUCCUCUUCACAUGCCCAAACCACCUCAGCCUCGCUUCCCGCAUCUUGUCCUCCACCGAUGCCACUCCCACCUUGUUUCGGAUAUCUUCAUUCCUAAUUCUAUCCCUCCUAGUAUGCCCACGCAUAAUAAAUCAGUGUGAAUUUAUACCAAAAUUUUGGUAUCACCAACCCAUAUAAGUAUGGGAUUAUAUCUUUGUUCUGAACCAAACGACCCCGGAGAGAUGUUAUGGGAUUAUAUCUUUGUUCUGAACCAAAAGGUCCAAGAUAGUUUCUUAAGUUUGGGCUUGAAGCAAAAUCAUUGUUGUUCUCUAGUUUGGAGCACUAGUCAUUUGGAGUCUUUUCAUGUUUAUAGUGUAGGCUAUGCAUAAAUAUACUGUGCUAAAUUAAUCCAAGAUUUCAAGUUCGGGUAAAAAACAAAAACAUGUAAUUAGAUGUGCUUUCCCUUUAAAUAAUCAAAAUAUAAAGUUAAAAAGUUAAUGAUCCACGUAAGCAAUGAUAAAAAUAUGGCCCUAUCCAAACCGACCAUACCCCAUAUAAGAUACAGACGUCCCUGAUCUUUUGGCUAAAUCAACAACCAAUAACAUGCUUCCACGUAUUAACCACUAUGCCAUAAUUUAAUACAAUUUUAAUCCAACGGACCUCAUUAUAUUCCAUCUUAUCCAAUUCUCAUAACUCUCUGCUUCACACUCCACUCUGCUUCUCCAAACACACUGUACUAUCACUUUUUGUGCUGAUCAUCAAGAAAAGCUUAUAUCAAUGGCAGAUUCAGACAAUGAAUCAGGAGGACACAGAGAUAACAGCAAUACUGAAAGUUCACUAAGAGAACAAGACAGGUUCCUACCAAUAGCAAAUGUAAGCAGAAUCAUGAAGAAAGCUUUACCAGCGAACGCGAAAAUAUCGAAAGAUGCUAAAGAGAUAGUUCAAGAAUGUGUUUCUGAAUUCAUAAGUUUUAUCACUGGAGAAGCAUCAGAUAAGUGCCAGAGAGAAAAGAGGAAGACCAUUAAUGGUGAUGAUUUGAUGUGGGCAAUGACAACUCUUGGUUUUGAAGAAUAUAUUGAGCCCCUUAAAGUUUAUUUGCAGAGGUUUAGGGAUCUAGAAGGGCAAAAAAGUGGUAUGGUUGGAGAGAAAGAGAGUAGUGGAUCAGUGAAUAUGGGUGGUAGUUAUGUUGAGGAUUAUGAUAUGGUGAUGAUGGGGGGUCAGCAUCAUCAUCAAGGACACGUGUAUGGUACCGGAGUAUAUGAUCGGACGAAUGAUAAUGUUGCUGGUGUUGGUACUGCAGGGUCUCAGUUUCUUGAUGUUGGGAGACCAAGGUAGUGUUGAUGAAAUAUAAUGACAAUUAUAUGGAGUCAAGACAAUGUGACACGCUGGAUUGCUAACAUGUAUCGAGACUUGAAAGAGCAUUUCUAGUCAAUGACUGUAUCGGUUUGCUUAAACUGUCAACAGCUCAAGUACGGGCGUUACAGCUACUGGAGGACGUAAUCAGACUCAGUAGUACUAUAUUCUACAGACAUGUAAAUUGGUAAAUACGUGUGUACAUUACAAUGAGGUGUAAGCAUGGUAGUUUAACGUGUUGUAAUUGUCUACUCAUAUAGUUUGUCAGUUGACUUUUAACAAAAUAGCUUUGCUAAUGCAAAAACGAUUUAUAUUGUUCACCAUUGAAAAA